rnacentral:rRNA from 1 species
AUUGAACGCUGGCGGCAGGCCUAACACAUGCAAGUCGAACGAGUGGCGGACGGGUGAGUAAUGUCUGGGAAACUGCCCGACGGAGGGGGAUAACUACUGGAAACGGGAGCUAAUACCGCAUACCAUCGGAUGUGCCCAGAGGGGAUGAGCUUGUAGGUGAGGUAACGGGUCACCUAGGCGACGAUCCCUAGCUGGUCUGAGAGGAUGACCAGCCGCACUGGAACUGAGACACGUUCCAUACUGCUACGGGAGGCAGCAGUGGGUAAUAUUGCACAAUGGGCGCAGGCCUGAUGCAGCCAUGCGGGGUGUAUGAAGAAGGGCUUCGGGUUGUAAAGUACUUUCAGCGGGGAGGCGUUACCCGCAGAAGAAGCACCGGCUAACUCCGUGUCAGCAGCCGCGGUAAUAC